GCAUGGCCGAAUUCUGUUUUACUCUUUCUGUAGUAAACACAGUCAGACACCAUGCCAGAUUACUACGCUCUCUCUCCUGUUGUCUCGGUGGUAUAUUACUGUGCUAUCACUGAUUUUGAGGGAAAGCAAACAAAC